rnacentral:rRNA from 1 species
UGGUAGUCCACGCUGUAAACGAUGUCGAUUUGGAGGUUGUGCCCUUGAGGCGUGGCUUCCGGAGCUAACGCGUUAAAUCGACCGCCUGGGGAGUACGGCCGCAAGGUUAAAACUCAAAUGAAUUGACGGGGGCCCGCACAAGCGGUGGAGCAUGUGGUUUAAUUCGAUGCAACGCGAAGAACCUUACCUGGUCUUGACAUCCACAGAACUUUCCAGAGAUGGAUUGGUGCCUUCGGGAACUGUGAGACAGGUGCUGCAUGGCUGUCGUCAGCUCGUGUUGUGAAAUGUUGGGUUAAGUCCCGCAACGAGCGCAACCCUUAUCCUUUGUUGCCAGCGGUUAGGCCGGGAACUCAAAGGAGACUGCCAGUGAUAAACUGGAGGAAGGUGGGGAUGACGUCAAGUCAUCAUGGCCCUUACGACCAGGGCUACACACGUGCUACAAUGGCAUAUACAAAGAGAAGCGACCUCGCGAGAGCAAGCGGACCUCAUAAAGUAUGUCGUAGUCCGGAUUGGAGUCUGCAACUCGACUCCAUGAAGUCGGAAUCGCUAGUAAUCGUAGAUCAGAAUGCUACGGUGAAUACGUUCCCGGGCCUUGUACACACCGCCCGUCACACCAUGGGAGUGGGUUGCAAAAGAAGUAGGUAGCUUAACCUUCGGGAGGGCGCUUACCACUUUGUGAUUCAUGACUGGGGUGAAGUCGU